UCCGGUUUAACACCGGCAGUCUCUCCAGAGUUCCCGGCAUGACCCGCUGGUAACUGGAGACAAGGGUUUCGCUCGUUAAGCGACUUAACGCGACAUCUCACGACACGAGCUGACGACAGCCAUGCAGCACCUGUGCAAAGGCUCCCUUGCGGGCACCCCGGACUUUCAUCCAGGUUCCUAAGCAUGUCAAGACUAGGAUAAGGUUCUUCGCGUAGCCUCGAAUUGAGCCACAUCCUCCACCGCUUGUGUGAGCCCCCGUCAAUUCCUUUGAGUUUCAGCCUUGCGGCCAUACUCCCCAGGCGGAGCACUUAACGCUUUCGCUACGACCGAAAUCCUGUGGAGGGGACUUCGAUCCAGUGCUCAUCGUUUAAGGCCAGGACUAC
rnacentral:misc_RNA from 1 species